AGCGACAGGCCUAACACAUGCAAGUCAGGGGCAGCACAAGGAGCAAUCUGAGGUGGCGACCGGCGCACGGGUGAGUAACACGUAUGCAACCUGCCUGUAAGCGGGGAAUAACCCGUUGAAAGACGGACUAAUACCGCAUAAUACUAAAUUACUGCAUGGUAAUUUAUUUAAACAUUUAUGGCUUACAGAUGGGCAUGCGCAUGAUUAGCUAGUUGGAGAGGUAACGGCUCCCCAAGGCAACGAUCAUUAGGGGUUCUGAGAGGAAGGUCCCCCACACUGGUACUGAGACACGGACCAGACUCCUACGGGAGGCAGCAGUGAGGAAUAUUGGUCAAUGGACGAGAGUCUGAACCAGCCAAGUCGCGUGCAGGAAGAAUGUCCCUAUGGAUUGUAAACUGCUUUUGCAGGGGAAUAAAGUGCAUCACGUGUGAUGUUUUGUAUGUACUCUGCGAAUAAGGAUCGGCUAACUCCGUGCCAGCAGCCGC
rnacentral:rRNA from 1 species